ensembl:lncRNA
CAUUUUAAUUCAGGUCUGUUGGAGGAGGUCAGAGAGAGGACACGACCACUGGUUGACCUUCCAGCUGACCUGGGCAAUCAGAGACACCUGUCCUUGGAAUGUACAUUCCGCCCACCAUUCCCGCAGCCGGAGCUGUUUUCGCUUUGAGAUAGUAAGGGGGUUGCUGAGACCUGCGUGGAAACCGUGACUGAAUCCCGUGAGGCCUCCUUAUGAAUUUUUAAGAUUCUGGUGGGACGGUACAGAGAUCUGCUCGUCUCGAGGUCGCCCAAGACGAGCACCAUACAUUCGAAAACUGCCCAAGAUAGAGGCCAUCUGUUCAAACCCAGGCGAUCUUAUGGCAAAGCCAACAUUUUUGAUUGCUCCAUUACCCUGGACAUCAGUUCCAAAUGCAGGAAGGACCAUGGGCUAGAACAUCUAGCACUCCUGGAGUUGGGACAGAAAUCCAGACCCAGAGCGUCCUUUCAAAGGCAAAGAGGUACGAAGUCUCACACAGGCUUUGGAGAGAGACAGACGUGCUUUGGAAUCACCAGACUUGUGACUUUGGGCAAGUUUCUGUACUUUGAGCCUCAGGUUACCAAUCUAUAAAAUGAGUUUAAUAAUUGCUGCUCUUCAGGAUUGUGUGUAUGUGGUUAAAUGAAAUCAUAAUCACUGAGUGUGGCACCUGGAAUGCUAUCGUGAAAGCUUGAUGAGCUAUAUUGUAGGAUGCAUAGGACACUUCUUUUGGGAGAUGGAUUUUGUUGUGAAUCAUUGGCCCAGUCUGCUUGUGCUUCUGCUCGAGGCAACCCUGGGAAAAUGCCACGGAAAUGUCCUUCCUUGUUAUUCACAAUAAUUACCCAAUGGCUGUGACAGAGGGCUCGGGAAAGCAUCAUUACUGAGAUCCUCUUAUGGACAGCCCCUUGGACACAACUCUGGCUUCCUGCAGCAGUUUCUGCCUGUUUCCAGCCAGCUGGACAACAAACCAAGGUUAGGGGAUCAGGAAGAAGCAGGAACAAGCCUGUUCCAAGGGGCUUCCCAGGCAGUGGAAGACGCACUGUGAAGUUGGGAACUCAGGAAACUGAAGCUCACAGAAGUUGACUAACCUGAUGGAGCUCCCCCAGCUGGCAAAUGAGACCUGAACAUUCCUUUCCCACUGUGGGUGGGUUACAAUUUGAAGGAAGCCGUUCACCCAGCCAUCUAAUUUCCCAGAGAUCUUGAUUGCGAAGGACCGUUUGCAGAUCCCAUCGGAGGGGCCCAGGUCAGGGGACACCUGGGAGCUGACUUCUCCAGAUCUACACGAGGACGACACAGAAGCCUGGGAGUCCCUUUCCCCCGUCCUCUCUGCUAUUUGGACUGCUCUAUCUGCUUUCAUCCUAGAAGGAAGAACGAGAAGAGGAUUGAACAUAUGGUGGAAAUAUCAUAAUUCUUGUGCUUUGCAUGAACUGUGAUUAUUGAUGAUCGGAAGGCUUCCUGCUUAAGAAGGGAUGUUCUUGUUGCCCUAAGAAAUGAGCCUCUCAAGAGGAACCCACAACCCAACAUGAAGAAGUAACGAGAGUGGGGUUCAGGGAAAGGGUGCAUUAGGCAAUCUACUUGGACAUCUUCUUGGCCAUGGCAAGAACUGGAGGGGCCAUGAAGGUCAAAUAAUUCUAGAACUAUUGCAGGAGAACAGACUGGCACUUGGAAACAGAGCCCUGGUCAAUGGCUAAAGAGAGCAUUAUCUAGUGUGUCUUCAGGGUAGUAAUGGUAGAUUUCCUUACAGUGGCCAUUUGAGAAUUGGGGGAAUUAGGGUUCUAGGCAUCCCAUUUCCACCUUGAGAUGCCGCUCAUGUGGUGUAUGAGAGGGUGUGGAAGCCUGUAUGGAGUAUGCUCUGUGAGCCCUGCGGUCAUUUUACCUGAUGUUCCUGUAGCUUUCACAUAUGCUGUGUCAGAUGCCUUAGAACAGCAAUGAUAACACAUUUUGGGCUAAUGAAGGGGGAGGAUGUUACUUCAGCUGCUAUUUUACAUCAUCCUCAGGAGCUUCCUGGGUGUUACCUGAAACCAGCCCCCACAGCAGAGGGUAGGGAGAGACCAAAGAAAGAGGCAGACCACUGGAGGUUGAUAGGCGGCAGAGGUAAUAAGCAAGGGAACUUCCUUAUCAGACUUGUCUUGGGCAGCCUCAAGACAAGUAGAUUUCCACGCUGCCUGCCAAAUCUUACGCUUUUAUAUAAAAGCAUUAACUGGAUUCAGUCAUGUAUACUGUCCAGAUAGUCUCAAAACUACAUUUCUGUCUCAAGGCUGUAUCCAUGGGACAGCCUCUGGGAAGUCGGAAAGCAAGCAGAAUGCACAUUACAAGGAGAGGAGUAGGGAUGGGGAACCUCCAAUUGCCCAGGUCCAGCGCACAGGUCAGCCAGAGGUCACGUCUUCUUGAUGACCUCCUCCAACAUCAGCAAAGCACCAGCAUAGGAGAAAGUGUAUCCUGUAAGUGUGCUCAAGUUUUCUCAGAUACUGUCAACAGAGAAACUGGUGGGAUGAUCUGAGAGGCUUGUGUUGAUUGACAGGGCCUUCUCCUGGAGUCUAUGCUUCAGGCGCAUUUCCUGAUGUCUCAGUAUCAACUGAACACUUUGCAGAAGACCAUGCCCUAGAGAACUGGGUGCUCCCAUUUCUCUCUCUAGUUCCAGUUUCCUUUUGUGUUUGGUUCAUGGGUAAGUGGCAGUGUGGAGAUGACUCUUAUUUGUUAGCUGGAUGCAGUGAGGACCUGCCUUUCACUAAAGUAUGUAAACGAGUGUUUAUGUAGGAAAACGUCAGAGUCCCUUCUCUUUCUCUCUCUCGCUCCAUAUGUAUAAAUAAUGUUUUUCUAAAUACCUCCACUUAUAAUGCCAUUCUCCAUGAAUUUUAUCAAAAAGCUGAGACUUUGAUGAUCAUUAUACAGGUUAUAUUAUACAUAUUAUUAUAUAGAUAUACUAUGAAAUAGAUGACUGUUAUGUAGGUUAGAAGAUUUAGAAGCCAGGGUCCCCACAAAGUUAAGCAAUUUUUAUUUGCACAGCUCAGUAAAGUGGAAACAUGGAGCAGAUCCCAGACCCUCUGGCUCCAAGGGAUCGUGUCCAACAGACAUGACAAUUCUGUUUGCACGAUGUCUGGCACCUUGUAGGUGCUCAAAAUAUAUUGUUGAGUAAAUGAAUAAAUGUCUAGAAGUCUUUUGGUCAUGAACUGAUUACCUCCAUUCUUUUUUCUUUGUUUUGAUCUGCUGUGUCAGCCUAGGCAGGUGCUCAAUUUUUCUCAUGACAAAGUCCCUCAGUCACCUUUUGCCCCU